AGCGAACGCUGGCGGCAGGCCUAACACAUGCAAGUCGAACGAACUCUUCGGAGUUAGUGGCGGACGGGUGAGUAACACGUGGGAACGUGCCUUUUGGUUCGGAAUAACUCAGGGAAACUUGUGCUAAUACCGAAUGUGCCCUUCGGGGGAAAGAUUUAUCGCCAUUAGAGCGGCCCGCGUCUGAUUAGCUAGUUGGUGAGGUAACGGCUCACCAAGGCGACGAUCAGUAGCUGGUCUGAGAGGAUGACCAGCCACACUGGGACUGAGACACGGCCCAGACUCCUACGGGAAGCAGCAGUGGGGAAUCUUGCGCAAUGGGCGAAAGCCUGACGCAGCCAUGCCGCGUGAAUGAUGAAGGUCUUAGGAUUGUAAAAUUCUUUCACCGGGGACGAUAAUGACGGUACCCGGAGAAGAAGCCCCGGCUAACUUCUUG
rnacentral:rRNA from 1 species